rnacentral:rRNA from 1 species
CCCGACUUCGGAAGGGAUGUAUUUAUUAGAUUAAAAACCAAUGCCCUCUGGGCUCCUUGGUGAUUCAUGAUAACUCUUCGAAUCGCACGGCCUUGCGCCGGCGAUGGUUCAUUCAAAUUUCUUCCCUAUCAACUUUCGAUGUUUGGGUAUUGGCCAAACAUGGUUGCAACGGGUAACGGAGGGUUAGGGCUCGACCCCGGAGAAGGAGCCUGAGAAACGGCUACUACAUCCAAGGAAGGCAGCAGGCGCGCAAAUUACCCAAUCCCGAUUCGGGGAGGUAGUGACAAUAAAUACUGAUACAGGGCUCUUUUGGGUCUUGUAAUUGGAAUGAGUACAAUUUAAAUCCCUUAACGAGGAACAAUUGGAGGGCAAGUCUGGUGCCAGCAGCCGCGGUAAUUCCAGCUCCAAUAGCGUAUAUUAAAGUUGUUGUGGUUAAAAAGCUCGUAGUUGAACCUUGGGCCUGGCUGGCCGGUCCGCCUCACCGCGUGCACUGGUCCGGCCGGGCCUUUCCCUCUGUGGAACCCCAUGCCCUUCACUGGGCGUGGCGGGGAAACAGGACGUUUACUUUGAAAAAAUUAGAGUGCUCCAGGCAGGCCUAUGCUCGAAUACAUUAGCAUGGAAUAAUGAAAUAGGAUGUGUGGUUCUAUUUUGUUGGUUUCUAGGACCGCCGUAAUGAUUAAUAGGGACAGUCGGGGGCAUCAGUAUUCAAUUGUCAGAGGUGAAAUUCUUGGAUUUAUUGAAGACUAACUACUGCGAAAGCAUUUGCCAAG